AGUUUUGCCCAAAGUUGGGCAGGAAGGCUUGGGUCACCAGGUGGUACUAUUAAUAACUCUGGGUAAGCCUGUCCCCAGGCUGGCUGGCAGCUCCCAUAAAGCCUGAACCGAGGACCCAGAGAGUCUUCUCCAGCCCCCGAGACCUUUAAAUCCCAUGUUGUGAGACAAAAAAGAAAAGAUCUUGUGACUGAAUUCAGAGAUGGUGGAUAUACACAGUCUGCCCGCACACAGCAGACACUUGGUUAGUGUCUAUCAAAUGGAACGGAAGCAGCUGGUACCAAAAGAUAGAAAACCAGAAAUUCAGGAUGCUCUGAGGCCCUUUGGAGAAGCUGGGUGAGCCUGAGCACAGUCUCCUUUCACAUCAUAGGAUGUGUUCUCUUUCAAAAUUAUGCCACAUGGUGUUCAUCAGGAGUUCAGCCUGGGACCUCAAGAAGGGGAAAGGACAUGUUGAUGCAAGAAUAUGAGGCGAUUAAAAAUGAAUGGAGUCGCAAUCGCAGAUGAACCACAACAGCAGGUGACCCAAUGGCCAUGGAAAAACUUUUCAGUCAUGUCCUUGGCAAAGAUACUGCAAUGGGUCAUUUCCUUCUCCAGUUUACUUUACAGAUGAAGAAAUGGAGCCAAACAGGGUGAAAUGACUUGCUCAGGAUCACAGUUAGUGAGUGUCUGAGGCCAGAUUUGAACUCAGGAAGGUGAGUCUUCCUGAUUGUAGGCCUGGUGCCACCUCUGUGGUAUGUGCAUACAAUGGGAUAUUAUUGGAUUGUGAGAAAUGGACAUUCAGAGAGCCUUGGCUCGAUUUGUACAAACUGAUGUGGAACAAAGUAAACAGAACAAAAAUGACUUCCAUGAUGCUCACAAUAACGUGAAGAGAAGCAGCACAGGAAAACUACAGAGCUCUACUCAAUGGAAGACCCUGGGUGACCCUGGAUGAUGGAUGCUUCUGGGGGCCAUGCCUCCUGCCUCUCAGCACAGAGGUGCUGGGCUCGAGGUGUGGAGCGACAUUGGUAUUUUCAGACACAGCCUAUAUAUUGAUUUGUUUUGAUAUCAGGGUCAGGGAUGAAGCGUCAUUGGUGACAAUUAUGUAACAAAAGAAGAUCAAUAAAACAUUAAAAAAAAAGAUGAAUGAUGGGUGCAAGCAGUUUGCUGUCUAUUACCAACUUGUGAGGGAGAAGUGGUAUCAGGGACUCCAUUGAGGGCAUGAAUGAGCAGAAAAGGAGCUGGGUUGAGUGUGUAGUGAGAGUGAAGGGAACAGAUGCACAGGCUGGGUGCUAUACUGAAAACCACACAAUAUUUAAAAAACAAAAUGAAAGAAAAAUCCAGAGGAAAUGCCUUGAGCAUGUGGGUUAGGUCCUCUAUGGAGGAUUUUGGAGGGGGGAAUGUAUAAAUGAAAAAACAUUUAUUGAGCACCUACUAUAUAGCAGAUCUGUACCGGGUAUAGGGAAUACAAAUAU